UGGGGAUUAUUGCGCAAUGGGGGCAACCCUGACGCAACAACGCCUCGUGCGGGACGACGUCCUUCGGGUUGUAAACCGCUUUCAGCAGGGCAGAUAGUGACGGUACCUGCACAAGAAGCCCCGGCUAACUACGUGCCAGCACCCGCGGUAAUACGUAGGGGGCGAGCGUUAUCCGGAUUCAUUGGGCGUAAAGUGCGCGCAGGCGGCUCUUCAAUCGGAACCUCUAACCCCGGGGCUCAACCUCGAGCCGGGUUCCGAAUUGGAGGGCUGUAGUGCGGUAGAGGAAGGCGUAAUACGCGGUGUAGCGGGGGAAUGCGCAGAUAUCAGGAAGAACACCGAUGGCGAAGGCAGACUGCUGGGCGGGCACUGACGCUGAGGCGCGAAAGCUAGGGGAGCGAACAGG
rnacentral:rRNA from 1 species